GUCAGGAUAAGUUUCGCAGGGUUGAGAAGGCUGAUCUUAGAGGCUGUUACUUUUGGAUCCUUCCUUUGGGAUGUUGAGAGCUUUGUGGACACCAGGUACCAUUUUGUGGCCAACUAGUUGAUCCUACAAAGUUUCAUCCCAGAUAGUGGAGAUUAGUGUGUAUAUUUGGUCCGAAGUGUAUGGGUUUCAAUGAAGACUCUUUGCAAAACGAAUUUCUCCUGGCUCUAUGCAGAUCGCAGAGAUCUAUGAUUUUUACACAGUUUUCGGGCAUAUAGCUUCAAUGUAAAAUGGAUAUUUUUUUAGCCUAAUGUGCAGCUGUUAGUUCCUGG
rnacentral:misc_RNA from 1 species